UGCAUCAACAAAAACCAAACAACACCACCUAAACCCUAAAAACUCAGACGGUUGAGAUGGUCAACGAUGAAGACGCAUGUAGAGGAGAAAGGGCGCCCGAGAAAGCCCUAGCCGCCACCCGUGUAAAUUUUUUCCUUAUUACAAUCAAUCAUAAAUUUCGUUAUGUUCACGAUUACUUCCUUCGAGGGUAAGAAAACCCUUUUCGUUUCUUCAAAGUCUGAUGAACAACAGUUAAAAUUUUCAAUUUUUAUUAAAAUAAAAGAAGAUCAUGUGUGGAAGAAAAGAGUUGCAGAGCAUAUGGGUUUUUUUUGAACGAGGACUUUCAUGAACAUCAGCCCAAUUGGAGAAAGGUUACUAUGUAGCUGGAGUUUUGUUUGAAGUCCUUUGCUCGGUUAACAAGACCGCUGAGGUUGAAGAGUGAAAUAGUUCUUGAAUCCUUCUCAUGUUACUUUCCAUCCUUUUCCUUUUAUUUGUAUGUAUUUUUUGAAGGUUUAUUAUUAUUUUUUUUUU